GGCCUGCUGGCCCAAUGGCAAGGCGCAUGACUACGAAUCAUGAGAUUGCAGGUUCGAUCCCUGCGUAGGUCA
rnacentral:tRNA from 3 species